rnacentral:tRNA from 1 species
GCUGUGAUAGCCGAGGGGUGAAGGUUUUUGAUUUGAAAUCCAAUAGGGUUUCCCUGUGUAGGUUUGAAUCCUGCUCACAGUG